UACGUAGGGUGCGAGCGUUGUCCGGAAUUAUUGGGCGUAAAGAGCUCGUAGGCGGUUUGUCGCGUCGGCCGUGAAAACUUGGGGCUUAACCCCAAGCCUGCGGUCGAUACGGGCAGACUUGAGUUCGGCAGGGGAGACUGGAAUUCCUGGUGUAGCGGUGAAAUGCGCGGAUAUCAGGAGGAACACCGGCGGCGAAGGCGGGUCUCUGGGCCGAUACUGACGCUGAGGAGCGAAAGCGUGGGGAGCGAACAGG
rnacentral:rRNA from 1 species